rnacentral:rRNA from 1 species
GGUACUAACACCGAUAUGCUUCGGGGAGCUGUAAGUAAGCUUUGAUCCGGAGAUUUCCGAAUGGGGAAACCCACUGCUCGUAAUGGAGUAGUAUUUUUACCUGAAUACAUAGGGUAAUAAAGGCAGACCCGGGGAACUGAAACAUCUAAGUACCCGGAGGAAGAGAAAGCAAACGCGAUUUCCUGAGUAGCGGCGAGCGAAACGGGAUUAGCCCAAACCAGGAGGCUUGCCUCCUGGGGUUGUAGGACACUCUAUACGGAGUUACAAAGGAACGAGGUAAAUGAACAGGUCUGGAAAGGCCGGCCAGAGAAGGUAAAAGCCCUGUAGUUGAAACUUCGUUCCCUCCAGAGUGGAUCCUGAGUACGGC